AUUGAACGCUGGCGGCAUGCCUUACACAUGCAAGUCGAACGGCAGCGGACCUUCGGGUGCCGGCGAGUGGCGAACGGGUGAGUAAAGUAUCGGAACGUACCUUUCAGUGGGGGAUAACGUAGCGAAAGUUACGCUAAUACCGCAUAUUCUGUGAGCAGGAAAGCAGGGGAUCGCAAGACCUUGCGCUGAUUGAGCGGCCGAUAUCAGAUUAGCUAGUUGGUGAGGUAAAGGCUCACCAAGGCGACGAUCUGUAGCGGGUCUGAGAGGAUGAUCCGCCACACUGGAACUGAGACACGGUCCAGACCCCUACGGGAGGCAGCAGUGGGGAAUUUUGGACAAUGGGGGCAACCCUGAUCCAGCCAUGCCGCGUGAGUGAAGGAGGCCUUCGGGUUGUAAAGCUCUUUCGGCCGGGAAGAAAUCGCACAGGUUAAUACCCUGUGUGGAUGACGGUACCGGAAUAAGAAGCACCGGCUAACUACGUGCCAGCAGCCGCGGUAA
rnacentral:rRNA from 1 species